UUUAUGAAACCCUGUGCAAUCCAAAAUUGAACAAGCGCUUGUACUUCAAUUCUGUAAUCUUUUGGAUACAAUCGGCAAUAAGCAAAGCAAUGCUUCAAAUGAGACGGGAGAUGAUCAUAACUCAAUUUCAGUAUAGGUAGAAGUUCUCCUUCAAUUUUUGAAAUUUUAGCAAGUUCAUUUUCUUUGAAAGAAUGCCACUCAUUUGCAGUUUUCUUCAAAGAUAAUGUACCAGCUAUCGUCCUUAUGGCUAAGGGAACCCCACCACACCUUUCCGAAAUCUGUCUCCCUACUUCCACAAAGGCUGAAUUUGUUGAGUCUGCAUGUCCUUGCUCAAAUGCUAUCUUUUUGAACAAAGACCAAGCAUCAUCAUCAGACAAGCCUUUCAAUUUCAAAACAUGGGAUUGACAUUUAUUAGUUAUCUCCGCUACCCUCAGAGAUCGAGUAGUUACUAUUAUCCUACUCCCUUUAGCCCCACCCACCAAUAACUUCUUUAGCCUAGACCACUUUUCUAGGUCCUCAUUCCAAAUGUCAUCCAAAACAAGCAAAUAUUUUUUCCCAUCAAUUUUAUCUCGAAGUUGUUUUUGCAAUUGAUCCAUUUCAAGAUUUUGAUCAGGUGCAUGAUGAGUCACAGAUUUGAUAAUGUUUGCUACAAUAGCUUUCACAUCAAAAUCAUCUGAAACACACGCAAACAUCGUUAAGUCAAAAUGAUUUUUGACCUUUCAUGGUUAUAGACAAGUUGGGCCAAAGCAGUCUUCCCUAACCCUCCAAACCCCACAAUUGGAAUGAUAUAAACAUUCUCUUCACUUUGAAACUCCAACACGAGUUUUAGAAGAGCUGCUUUAUCAUCAUCCCUCCCUAUUAUGUCAUCUUAACACUCAAAAGAGUGCGUUUGCUGCCUCCUUUUAGUCAUGAAAGAGGUUUUCGCGGGGCGAUCAUGCGGAAUGAAGCCAAAAGUGUUGGUCCCGCUUUCAAUUGAAGCUAAUCUCGCCUUAAUGGCCUUCAUUUUCCGACCCAUUUUGAGACCAUAAGCAAAUUGGUUUGAGGUUGAGAAGAAAAGGCGUACCUCUUUCGUCAGCUUGUUCCCACCCGAUACAUCUUUCCGCAAAGCUUCAGUAGAGAAAUCAUCAAGCAAGUCGUCGGCAUCAUAAAGUACAUCUUUCAGCUCUUCAAGCCAAACUUUGACGAGAUUGUCAGUCACCGAUUUCUCUUCUGCGUCAAGAAGCACAGCUUUGAUUUGACAGACAGUGCGUUUGAGGUCGUGGAUGUCAUGUUUUAGAUUCCACCACAGCCCAACUUGAGAGAGAGCACGAGAGCUCAACUUAAUAAUGAGCUCUGCGGCAAUGUCGAAAGCAAUUGCUUCGGCCAUUGGUGGUUCAAACUGAAAUCAAUGCAAAAAGUGUUUGAUUCGUGAAAGAGGAGGACUAAUAUGAGAAUGAUUCCAACAAGAUGAAACACAGAUGUAGAUCCAUACACGCGGAGACUGAAGUAUAUUUAUAGAUGUUACCAUCCACCCAGCAAGUAGUAUAAUUAAAUAAAAAGUAAUUUUAAGAGAUUCAUUAAUAUAAUUAUUUGUCUAUGCAAUAUGUCAAAGUAAAAUGUAAGAGGUUGAUUUGGCAUAUCCCAAAACAUUUUGUUAUAGUUUGGAUGGUCAUUCUUGUCAAGUUACCUAUCAUUGGCAAAGCUUGGUAGAGACUCUUAAAAUGGUAAAUUUUUAAUUUAAACCUUUUAUAAUUUAUAAAAUUUUAAAUUAAUAAUGAUAAAAUUAUAAUUUAAUCCUCUAAAAAUUUAUAAAAAAAUUAAUUUAACUCUUUAAAAAUUAUAAAAAUAUACUACUAUAAAAAUAUAUAAUUUAAUUCUGACUAAAAAUUUUUUUAGCUCGGCUACCGUUGCCUAUAAAAGAAAAAUAAAUUUCGUUUUCCACACAAUAUGUGGAGAGAUAUUGGGUUUAUGUCAGCUCCAUGGGAAUGUAUUUUAUUGGAAUUGAAGGAAAAAUCAUUACUUAUACCCUCGUGAAGAUUGCUUCCAAUGCCCAUAUCUAUUUAAUUAUUUUAUUACUCAUAAAAUUGUUUAUUGUGAGUUGGAUGCUUUUGGUUUGAUUAUUUAAGAUGUUUUAUUUUUAAAUAUAUUCUUAAUUAUUUAUUUUACAUAUACAUGUAUUUUAACUUAAUAUAUUUAAUAGUGAUUUUGUUUUUUAUAAAAAAAGGACCCAAAGGUACUACCUCAUUUUAAGUUGCAUCAUAAAUUACAAUGUUAUGGAUAUCGCUAGGAUAAUUCAUCCCAAAAGACAAAUUACAACACUUAGAAAGAGCCCAAUUACGAAGAGAAUCGACUAAUUUGUUACAACCACGUUUCACCCAUUUGACCUCGGCGGAAACAAAAGAAUCAAGCAUCUUGUGAGCUCAUUGAUGCAGUGAUCAAGGGUCGUUAUGUCCUCUUUGUGAAAACUAAAGCGGUUGACAAUGCUAGCACAAUCUGCUUCAAAUGACAUUAUCGGCUUCAAAAAAUUGAGCAUGCCGAAAACCAUCGAUGAGGGCAUCUAAUUCUGCUUUAAUAGUGAUUUUUUAUUCUCAUUUUAUCGGUAUAUUUGUUGGAACAUUUUCAAAUAUUUAUAGUGUUCCAAUAACUAUAAAUGAAUGGGUGUAAUUAAUCAAAAGAUUACAUUAUUUGAUUUUUUUGAAAAAGAGUUAUAACUAUUUAAAUAAUAUUAUUUGAAUAGUUAUAAAUGUAUAAUUAUGUGUUUAUUUUUAAGACAUUAUUAUUCAGAAAGACACCUAUUGAUGAAGAGACAUGAAAAUUUCUAUAAGUAGGAAUGGAAUUUCAUUUGGAAAACAUACCAAAAAAUUCUAAAUAUUCUUUCUUUCCUUCAUUCAUUUUCUAAUAUUAUUAGAUUAUUCUAUAAAGUAUUACUGCAGAAAUUCUUUGUAGAAAUUGAGUUUUUGAUAUAUAUUGCUUAGUGCUUAGUGGACUAUUCUCGUCAGUGCAAAACGCAAAUAGUCAUUAGCUUCAUUGUAUCCUCGAGGUUAAUUUGCUUGAAACUCAUUUGCACACCGAAGAUAGGUGGGGGUGAAUAUAACCUUAAAGAUAGUGGCUUGAUACACGCCUUGGAGCAUUGCCAUUUUUCUUCUUUUUCUGUUCGAGUUCUGUUUGUGUGUUCGAGAUUUUUCUCACUGGAGUUUUGUACUAACAAUUUUAAGGUUAUAAUUCAUGAUGACUACCACAACACAUGAAAGUGGAACACUAAGGGAGUUGGCUUCCAACUUUGUUAAACUUGAUCGGUUUGAUGGUUGUAAUUUUCGACGAUGAUAGAAAAAUAUGCACUUCUUAUUAUCAACUUUGAAGAUUGCUUAUGUUUUGGAUACUCCAAGACCUGAAGAGAAUGAAAACCAAUCUGUUGUUGCAACUUGAGAAAGAUAAAAAUGGGACAAUGCUGACUACAUGUGCAUGGGCCACAUAUUGAAUGGUUUAUCUGAUGGUUUGUUUGACACCUACCAAAACGAGGUCACCGCUAAAGAAUUAUGGGACAAAUUGGAGACAAGAUACAUGACUGAAGAUGUUACAAGUAAGAAAUUUCUUGUCAGUCGUUUCAAUAAUUAUCAAAUGGUUGAUGGUCAUUCUAUUAUGGAACAAUUCCGUGAUAUUGAAAAGAUGUUGAAUCAAUUCAAGCAAUAUGAUAUGAAAAUGGAUGAAAUGAUUGUUGUAUCCUCCAUAAUAGACAAACUUCCUCCAUCUUGGAAAGACUUUAAAAGAAGUCUAAAACAUAAGAAAGAGGAAAUAUCUCUUGAGGCUUUGGCAAAUCAUCUUCGUAUUGAAGAAGAGUAUAGAAAACAAGAUCAAAACCUAAAUUCUGAAAAUGCCAAAGUGCAUGUUACGGAAGAAGUACAGACUACUAAACCAUUCAAGAGAAAGUUUAAACAGACUGAUAAAGUACCUAAGUUCAAAAAGAAACAAAAGGGCUCAUGCUAUCAUUGUGAAAAAUCGGGACAUUUCAAGAAUGAAUGUCGAUUUUUAAAGAAGAAAUCAUCUUUUAAGGCUGAUAAUAACGAAAAAUUCGUUGCAAUGAAAUCUGAAAUUAAUAUGGCACAAGAUGAAAGUACAUGGUGGAUUGAUACCGGAGCAACCAAACAUGUGUGCAAAGACAAAAGCAUGUUCACAAAGUCCACACAAUGAAAAAAUGACAAUGUCUUGUACAUGGGAAAUUCUUCCACCGCAGCAAUCAAAGGCAAAGGGUCUGUUGAACUACAAUUCACUUCUGGAAAGGUUUUAACCUUAAAUGAUGUAUAUUAUGUACCAGAAGUUUGAAAUAAUUUAGUGUCUGGAAGUCUGUUGAAUAAGUUUGGUUUCAAACUUGUUUUUGAGGCAGAUAAGUUUAUUUUGUCUAAGGGAGGAAUUUUUGUGGGGAAAGGGUAUAUGUAUGAGAGCAUGUUCAAACUCAAUAUUAUUAAUAAAAAUAAAAAUACUAUUUCUACUUAUAUGGUUGAAUUUUUUUGUUUGUAGCAUUAUAGAUUAGGUCAUUUGAAUUAUAGAAAAUUGAAUGACAUGUAUAAGUUAGAUUUAAUUCCUAUUUUUAAUAAUAACAUUGAAAAAUGCAAUACAUGUAUGUUGACUAAAAUUACAAGAAACCCUUUCCCUAAGGUUAAAAGGAAAACAAAAUUGCUUGAUUUGAUACAUAGUGAUUUAUGUGACAUGCAUAAUACUCCUACAUUAGGUGGAAAGAAAUAUUUUGUUACUUUUAUUAAUGAUUGUUCUAGAUAUUGUUAUGUAUAUUUAUUGCAUUCAAUAGAUGAAGCGCUUAAUAAAUUUAAAGUUUAUAAAUCUGAAGUUAAACUUCAGUGUGAGUCAUUUAUCAAGUGCUUAAGAUCAGAUAGAGGUGAAGAAUACUAUAAUCCAAGUUAUUUUGAAUCCACUGGAAUUGUCCAUCAAGUUUCAGCCCCUUACACACUACAACAAAAUGGUGUAGCUGAAAGGAAAAAUAGAAUCUUGACUGAAAUGGUAAAUUCAAUGUUAUCAUAUUCAGGUAUUGGACAAGGUUUUAGGGCGAAGCUGUUCUAACAACUUGUCAUAUAUUUAAUAAAGUUCCUAAUAAGGAAACUAAAAUAACCCCCUAUGAACAAUGGAAGAAAAGGAAACCAAACCUUAAUUAUUUGAAGGUUUUGGGUUGUAGAGCUAUUGUAAAAGUUCCAACACCUAAACAUAAAAAGUUAGGUGAAAGAGGAAUUGAAUGCAUAUUUAUAGGUUAUGCACAUAAUAGCAAGGCAUAUAGGUUCAUGGUAAUUGAACCAAAUGAUUCAAUUUCAAUUAAUAAUGUUAUUGAAUCAAGAUAUGCUAUUUUUGAUGAAAAUAGAUUUAAUUCUAUAUCAAGACAAUUACAGCCACAACAAUUGAUUCAUUCUUCAAAUGAGAAUGAGAUUCCAUUGGAACAAAUUGAUAAUAAUAAUGAAUCUUGUCAAGAAUUAAGAAGAAGUAAGAGGAUUAAAAAGGUCAAAGAUUUUGGACCAGAUUUUAUUAUGUUUCUUGUAAAAGAAAAAGGUGAAAGUAUAUGCAAUAAGAUACCUUAUUGUUAUAAUACAGAAUCUGAUCCUAUUACAUUUGAAGAGGGCAAUGAAAUCUCAAGACUCUACUUUUUGGAAAGAAGCAAUAAAUGAUGAGAUGGAUUCAAUAAUGGGAAAUCAAACUUGGAUCUUAGUUGAUCUUCCACCAGGUUCUAAACUAAUAGGUUGUAAAUGGAUCUUCAAAAAGAAAAUGAAGGUCGAUGGAACCAUUGAUAAAUUUAAAGCAAGGUUGGUAGCCAAAGGUUUUAUACAAAAACAAGGUAUUGAUUACUUUGAUACCUAUGCUCCAGUAGCAAGAAUUGCUACAAUUAGACUCUUAAUAUCACUUACCUCUAUAUAUAAUUUAGUUUUUCACCAAAUGGAUGUUAAAAUUGUAUUUUUAAAUGGUGAAUUAGAUGAGGAAGUGUACAUGGAGUAACCGGAAGGAUUUAUUGUUCUAGGACAAGAGCAUAAGGUAUGUAAGCUUGUUAAAUCUUUAUAUGGGCUUAAACGAGCACCAAAACAAUGGCACCAAAAGUUUGACAAGGUUGUUUUAGCUAAUAGCUAUAAAAUAAAUGAAUCUGAUAAGUGCAUAUAUAGCAAAUUUGAAAAUGGAAAAGGUGUCAUAAUUUGCUUAUAUGUAGAUGACAUGCUCAUUUUUUGCACGGAUUUGGAAUAAAUAGAAAACACAAAGAAAUUCUUGUCAAACAACUUUGCUAUGAAGGAUAUGAGUGUAGCAGAUGUUAUUCUUGGGAUUAAAAUAACCCGAGAUGAAAGCACUAUAGCUUUAUCACAAUCACAUUACAUUGAAAAUGUGCUUAAAAAGUUUGAUCUUUUCAACUGUAUACCAGCAUCUACACCCAUGGAUCCUCAAAUAAAAUUAGUAUCUAAUGCUAGUAGGAAAAUUGAUCAAUUGAAAUAUGCAAGUCUAAUUGGUUGUCUUAUGUACAUAAUGACUUGUACAAGACCAGAUAUUUCAUAUGUUGUUGGAAAAUUGAAUAGGUACACAAGUAAUCCAAGUAGUUUGCAUUGGCAAGCUUUGAAUAGAGUACUUAAGUACUUAAAGAAAACUAUUAACUAUGGAUUGUGUUAUAACAGAUAUCCUCCAGUUUUAGAAGGUUAUUCGGAUGCUAGUUAGAUUACAAGUUUGGAAGAUCAUGCAUUUACUAGUGGAUGGAUCUUCAUUCUUGGUAGAUGAGCCAUUUCUUGGGGUUCCAAGAAACAAACAUGUAUUACUAAUUCCACCAUGGCAGCAGAAUUUAUUGCAUUAGCUGCUGCAUUUAAAGAGGCAGAAUGGUUAAGAAAUUUUCUUUAUGAUGUACCUUUAUGGCCUUAGCCAAUUUCACCUAUUUCUAUCCGUUGUGAUAGUGAGGCUACUCUAGCAAAGGCAUAUAGCCAAGUAUAUAAUGGAAAGUCUAGACACAUUGGAUUAAGACAUAGUUAUGUCCGAUAAUUAAUCUCUGAUGGAGUGAUCACUAUUAAUUAUGUGAGGUCAAGUGAAAAUUUGGCAGAUCCUUUGACAAAAAGUCUUGCUAGAGAUAUAAUAAAAAGGACCUCAAAAGGGAUGGAACUCAAGCCCAUUAAUUAGAGUCACCCAUGAUGGAAACUCAAAUCAAUGCUUGGUAUAACGUCAAGUCUUGAGUUCAAUGAGACAAAGUACAUCAUUAGUAUGUGACUGUUAGCACUAUAAAUAAAUCCAUCCUAAGAUUAAAGUGCUAGGUAUCCGUAAUGAUAAGGAAAGGAUGAAUAAUGUACUCUUAACGGACCCAUAACAGAAAUAUGUUAGAGUGUUAUAAUUACGGGAACACUCUUAAUGGGAUCUACCUAUGUGAGUGGAAGUGCGGCCGCUUCUAGGAGCUCAAGGGUUUGACUCUGACAGCACUCAUGAAAAGAGGACACAGACAUAUGGCCAUAAUAGUGUCUUUAGAUAUUAUGCAUUGGCCGAUGUUGAAAUCAUUGUACGAGAUGUGUUCAGUUAAUCAAAUGGAAUAGUUGGUUCAAAGCUUUGUCUACCGUGCAUUUUUUAUUAACUUUAACAUAUAUUCACUAAGUGAAGGUUCAAUCGUAAGAUAUCUUCAUUUAUGCAAAUUGAUUUCCAAGAAUAUCAAAAUCUAAAAUAUUUUGAAAAUGGGGGGGAGAUUGUUGGAACAUUUUCAAAUAUUUAUAGUGUUUCAAUAACUAUAAAUGAAUGGGUGUAAUUAAUCAAAAGAUUAUAUUAUUUGAUUUUUUGAAAAGGAGUUAUAACUAUUUAAAUAAUAUUAUUUGAAUAGUUAUAAAUGAAUAAUUAUGUGUUUAUUUUUAAGACAUUAUUAUUCAGAAAGACACCUAUUAAUGAAAGAUGUCUCUAUGAAGAGACAUGAAAAUUCCUAUAAAUAGGAAUGGGAUUUCAUUUGGAAAACAUACCAAAAAAUUUCAAAUAUUCUUUCUUUCCUUCAUUCAUUUUCUAAUAUUAUUAGAUUAUUCUAUAAAGUAUUACUGCAGAAAUUCUUUGUAGAAAUUGAGUUUUUGAUAUACAUUGCUUAGUGCGUAGUGGACUAUUCUCGUCAGUGCAAAACGUAAAUAGUCAUUGGCUUCAUUGCAUCCUCGAGGUUAAUUUGCUUGGAACUCAUUUGCACAUCGAAGAUAGGUGGGGGCGAAUAUAACCUUAAAGAUAGUGGCUUAAUACACACCUUGGAGCAUUGUCCUUUUUCUUCUUUUUUUGUUCGAGUUCUGUUCGUGUGUUCGAGAUUUUUCUCACCGGAGUUUUGUACUAACAAUAUUUACAUUGAAUUCAAAUACAUAUUCUACAAUUAACUUUAAUCUCACUGUUACAAUACUUAACCUCACUAAAUUACUUGUUUAACAUGAUUAUCGUGAAUUUAUAGAAAGAAAAAUCACGAAGCAAAUGCAGAUGCACUUAUGUUUAAAGUGUUUUUAAUUGAACUUUUAUUAUUUUGAAAAAUAAAAGUAUAAUAACUUUUUUUGCAUUCCAACUUUAUAAAAGAAUUAUUUUAGCUCUUUAUUUAUUUCCCUUCUCUUUUAGUCUUUGAACUUACAUUUUUUUUGUCAAACCAUCCAAAAUGGGUGAAAAAGUUAACGUUUGUUAACUUUGUUGACAUGACAUAUAGGUGGAUUACCACGAGUAUGUCACGUUAGCAAUUAAUUAUUUUUAAAAAAUUAAAAAAUAUUUUCUUAUUAUUUUUUAAUUUUUUUAAUUUUUUUAAUGUUUAAAAUAUUUUUUAAAUGUUUUAAAAUUUUAAAAAAUAAUUAAUUGCUUAUGUGGCAUAUACAUGGAAAUCCGCGUGUAUGUCACAUCAGUAAAAUCAACAGACGUUAAAUUUUCACUCAUUUUGGAGUGAUUUAACAAAAAUUACAAGUUUAAGAACUAAAAGAAACGAAAAAUUAAAUGAUAAGUUGAAAUAACUUUUUCCGUAAACUUGGAGACCAAAAGAAUCAUUAUGGCAAAAAAUAGUUGUUUUUCUUCUCUUUUCUUCUUUUCUUUUUGGUAUCUUUUAGUGCUAAAAUUCAAGAUGGUGUGGAAUAGUUUCUAAUCUUAUUAUUGUUAUAUAUGUUUUCGAUCUCAUUAGAGCUAUAAUCUCAUUGUCUAUAUAAAGAGAGCCUAAAUAUAAUUUGUUCAGCUUCUAUUAAACAUGUUAGUGCUCCUUUGUACGAUCAUUUUCCUCCCGUGAGUAGGGUUGAGUAAAUAAAAUAAAAUAAUUGAAAAUCGAUCCAAAUCAAGGUGUUUAGACGGUUUAUGGAAUACAAAUUAAAAAAUCACAAUUAUCCGAAACCGAACAAAAUUCUAUUCUUUAUUUAACUUAUAAAUAAUUUUUUAUAACAUAAAAAAUCUUUUAUAUUGAAAAAUAGUGAAAAUAAAUAUAUAUAUAUAUUUUAAAAAUAUUAUAUAAAAGUAUUUGAUUAUUUUUAUUUACUUAAAAAAUUUUAAAAAAUAUCUAUGAAAAUAACUUUGAAAAUUUGUCUAAUGAUAAUUAAAAGCCGUAAAAUAAAGUUUAUUUUAUUAAAAUAAUUAUAAAAAUUUAUAAUAAAAAAUCGAACUAAACUAAAUUAUAAUGGAUGGAUAAAAAAAUGCAAUUGAAUUAAACUAAUAUCACUUAAUUUUAUUGCACCAAACUGCACAUAAAAGAUUUUCUUAAAAAAUUUAACCUGCAAUGACACUGUUUUUCUCACUAAAACCUUCUAGAGCGUGCAAUGUCCUCGCCAAGUAAGUAAAUUCAAUAGAGGUUGGAGGCUAAAGGUUGAUACAUAAAAGAAGGGGAGGGGCACAGUUCUGCUUCAACCAAAACCCCAAAUUUAGCAUCUUGAGUUGUUAAAAUAAGUAAAUUCACCAUACUUUUCCGUUAGAUUUUGGCUCUCUUCUUCAGCAGAAUGUGGCGUACAGUACAAGAAGCAGGGACCAUCCUUUCUACCAUGAUUUGAUUAUCUGCCCACAUAUUCCAACAAAACGAAUAUGGUAAUAAAUGUCAUCAAUUUCCUUCUAAUUUCCAAUUGAUCUGAUAGAAAUGGUGUAAUUCAAGAGUACUUGUAUAAUAUAUAUGCCCAACUGAGUACUAGAUGGAAUCUAUGCUGUUGACGGACUCUUGGAGGCAUGUUCGAGAGAGCUUAAACACAUUUAUAUUUUUCAGUGUUCCAUACAAUAUUCUAAUGAGUGUCGAAUUCAUUAAAAUGAUGUAAAAAAUAAUAUAAGGAGUAGGGUCAAUCCACAGAAAUUGAGAUAUCAACAUUUGUUGUUUGCUUCAACCAAGUUGCACGUCUAGAUUCUUAUCCUGCCCACGAGGUGUGACUGUCUGUGCAAAAAUAAAAAGAAAAAUUCUAAUGUAAUAAAAGUAAAAAUAAUAAAGAUAAAAAUAAGCAAAAAGGAAAUUAAAUUAAAUAAACUAAUAUGAUGGAAUUCAAGCUUUAAGCUCGAUUUUGUUCCAAUUUCAAACCAAUGCACGAUAACAAGUCUUCUCCUUCAACCGAUAAGCCAGUUAUAGUGAUCGAGGAUGCCUCAGACCACUAACCCUUCCAUAUGUAAAUUAAUUACGAGAACACCCAACAAUUAAUCCUUAUCGAACCAACAACCACAAAACACGCAUCCACGAUUUAGCUCUCUGGUAGCCUUGUGAGCUAAAAGGGUCCAUCUCGAACCAACAACGUCAAUUACGUGAGUCGUUUAGAUCCGAUUGCUAACUUCUUAGUUGGACACGCCAAUGUGUUCUUCGGAAGAUCAAAUACGACAAAUGCUCAAUCCGGUACUUCCAAUUGUACGUCUAUCAACACCGAAUCAACGAGCUAUUUUUAACAUGGUGUGAACACAACUUUGUGAGAUGCCAAUAUCUAUCUCCUAAAUCAGAGAAACAACAAAUACCGAAAUAAAAGUUUUUAAGUAUAAAUUUGGAUCUCACAGCUGUCUACUGGAUUAUUUAUUUAGCUACUAAUGAAAAUAUAUGAAAUAAAAGUAUAAAUAAAAUUUUAAAAAUAUGGAAAUAGGAUUGCGCAUGUAAGAGAGAAGUGAUAAACAAGUAUGAAUAAAAGAGGGGCAAAUUUUCCAAUAAUAAAGAAAAAAAAAUCAUCACCCUUUAAAAAAGAGUGGGCCAAUCUCACUUUUACCCUUUAAAAAAUAUAUACAAUAAUGUUGCAAUUGAUAAUUCUGCCCACCUUGUUCUUCUUUAUUCAUAACAUCAUGUGGUGCUAUUCAAGAAAAAUACAUUGAAAGCUGCAGAAAAUUUAUAAAGAAAGGCCGUCCGUUAAUAAAGUUUUUAAUAUAAAAUUAGUAACUUUUUAUUUAAUUAUUACUUAGUGGGUGGAUGGUGACAUCUUUAAAAUACAAUAUUGACUCUACGGGUAAUGUACGUAUGUAUUAACGCUUGUAUUUUCAUCUUGUUCAAAUCAUUUCACUCUUCCUCCUGCAAUAAUCAAACACUUUUUGCGUGCCAUCAAUGGCUGAAGCAUUGCUUUCGAUAUUGCUGGAGAGCUCAUUACUAAGUUGAUCUCUCGAGCUCCCUCUCAGAUUGGAGUAUGGUGGAAUUUCAAAGAUGACCUCGAUGACUUCAAACAUUGUUGCUGUCAUAUCUGAAUGGGCUGAUCUAUGAAAAUUAAAUUAACUCUAAUACUACUUAAUUGUUAGGAUCAAUCCAAUUAAGCAAUAAGUAAAUAAAAUAGCGGAAUAAAUUGAGAAAUUGAACACAUAAAUUUAACGUGGAAAAAUCCCUUUAAAGAGGAUAAAAACCACGAGCAAAUAUAAUUUUACUAUAAUGGCAAAAGAACGAAGAGCAUAAAAGAUGGAGAUAAAAACUAAACCCCGAAAACCCGAAAACAAAGAACCCUAAAAACAUAAACACAAAAUUCUCUAAAUGUGUUAUGAGUCUUAUUAUUAAUUAUUGGUAUCGUUGAUGUAGCUGAGCGUGUUAAUAUUUGUUGUUAGUGGUAGUAACAUUUUAAUUAUUUUAUUCUACAUUUAUUUGUUUAUUGAAGUGGGUUGAUGAUUUUUAAUUGUUUAUUUUUGGAAAUCUUGUUUCAUUCUUUUGUUCCAUGUCAUGUUGGAAAAAGAGUUCGAAUAAACAUGUUUGGAGUAUUAGGGUUGUAUAAAUCUAAAUUUUAAGAGAUUGUUGGUAAGUCAAGUAAAAAAAUAUUUUUUAGAAAAUUUAGUAUUUAUUAAUAUAAUAUAUAUGUUUAGCAUUUAUUAGCAUAAUAUAUUUGAGAUUGAUUAGAAUUAGAUUUUUUUUAACCUAUAAAUAGAUGUAGUUGAAACUCCUAUCGUAUCAUUUGAAUUCAAACAAUUAAUGCAAUAACCAUAUAAAAUGGCGUUGGUUUGGAUACCCCUUUGAUGUUUUGUCUUCGUUUUGGUGUUUGUUUUGGGGGUUGUGUCUCUUUGGGUUAAUUUUCAAUAUAUGUGUGCUGAUGAUGCAAUGAAUAAAGAAAUCAAAAGUUAUGCAGAAAUUUCAAUUCUGGAUGGUGCUGCAAUUAUAUUUUUAAGAGUAGUAGCAUUUUAUUUGUUAUUAACAUAUAUUUGUUUAUUGGAUACGUGUGUUGAUGAUGCAGUGAAUAAAGAAAUCAAAAGUUGUGCAGAAAUUUCAAUUUUGGAUGGCGCUGUAAUUAUAUUAUUAAGAGUAGUAGGAUUUUAUGUUUCUUUUAGAUGUACAUAUAUUUAUUAGGAAAGGGUUCAAGUUUUUUAUUUGUUUAUUAUUAGGGUUAAAUAUCAAAUUUAUACCCUAGUUUUGGUUCAAUUGUAUAAUUUGAUACAUGAAUUUUGAUUUGGUGCAAUUAUCUACAUGAAACUUGAAUUAUGGUUCAUAUAUAUAUAAAACUUUGAUUUUGAUAUAAUUGUACGCAUUAAAGAAAUGAAUACCUAUAUUUAUUUUCACAUUGGAUUAAUAUAAUUGUAGCGACCUAAAAUUUUUGCGAGUUAGUCGAGGUCGUUACGAAAGGAAAUCUUGGGUUGACGAUUAUUGAAAAUUCGGAAAAGGUCUCAAUUUUACUUAAAAAGAGAUGAGUCGCCACCGGUCCUUUUUCUAAGUGAGAUCAGACACCUACUAAAUUCUCUUUUUAAAAGAAAAUUUAUUUUUAAAAUUCUCUUUAAAAAAAGUCGAUUUUAGGUCUGCGUCAAAAUCCAAAGAAAAUUAGAGUUCGGGAGUCUGUUAUGCACAAAGAAUGUAUUAACACCCUCGUGGCGCCCAAAAUCGGUAUCCCAUUAAAUGCGUGUUGUCUUAAAUUUUAAAAAUACGAAUUCAAUUUAAUAUUUAAUCAUGAUUCGAUUGAAAAAUGAGAAUUUUGAUAAAUUACAUAUUAUUGUAUUGUAUAUAUUUUAGAAUGAAAUACUGAUAAUUUACGAAUAAAAAUAAAGAUUUUAUUUUUAAUGAGAGAAUUUUUUUAAUUUUUUAAUUUUUAGAAGGGCGUUCCGUAUUUAAAAAAAGUCAAUGAUAUCCACCCAACAUAGCAGUGAAAUAAAUGACUUAAUGCUAAAUCGGUUCGUUGCCUUAGGUAUUGAAAUUAUUUAAAUUAAAAAUUGUAAAUGAAAUAUUUCUAAAAGGCUGUUUAAAAAUGCUAAUUUAAUUAAAAUGAAACAAUAUUUAAAUACAUGGACUAAAUAAAUAAAGACAUGCACCUUUGUUGUGAGAUAUCUAGUGAGUUCAAAAAUUCUCUUCUGAAAAUGGUGGCUAUCAUGUAAUUAGUAGUAUAUUAUUUCAAUUUUGGUGAGAAUUGUAUUCUCACUUAAACGCUUAAUGCCAUUUGCUAAAUUUUUUGUGUGGGUGAUCUUUUGAUCUGUUCAUAAACCGAACUUUUCAUGGUGGCUAAGUUUCUUAGGGGAUAAAUUAUUAGUAGCAUUAUUUGUUUCUGCAGUGAAAUUGUGAUGCCUGUAUUUUAAAAUGUGAGGUAUUAUCGUAUUUGAUGAUAUAGUGGAGUUUUGGUAGAUUAAACGGAUCGUUUGCUGAGCUAAGUUGAAAUUGAAUGAAUGCUGGCCUCAUCCAAUGUCCAAAACUUGAUGACUUCAACAUUUUGAUGCCUUAAUUUGAGAAGACUGAGUUAGAGUACUAUAAAACUUUCUCAGAAUGCUGAUGAGGCAAAGAUCUAGUGAUCUAAUAUAAUUGCAAUUCAUAGUAUGGUAGUUUCAAUGCUUUCGUAAGAGAGGAAGAUUAUGUCAUGCUACUCCAUUCUCGGUUUAAAUCAGUGCUCUAUAUGAAGAAAGGUUGAUGGGUGUUAGUUCUUUUGAUGUCUUGUCUUUGAUGGAUGUUUGAAAAAUGAUUCAGUUGAUAUUCAUAAUGUCUAUCACUACAGUUUCCCCCUUAUGUAUAAUAUGUCUGCUAGUUUGUCGGUCUUCGUAUAUUACAUUCCUUUUUCUUAUUGUUUUCAACACGAUAACAAGUGAGUUAGUAGCUAUUUUACUUGAUUUUGUCAUGGCAUUUCAAAGAUGACCUCAAGGACCUCAAAAGCACCAUCUCCACAAUCAAAGCUGUGCUUCUUGAUGCCGAAGAACAAUCCAUGACCAGCAGUCUCAUCAAAGAUUGGCUUGAAAAGUUGAAAGAUGCAUUUUAUGAUGCCGAUAAUUUUUCUACUGAUGCUUUGCGGAAAGAUCUACUGAGCAGGAACAAGCUAAUGAAAGAAGUAUGCCUUUUCUUUUCAAGCUCAAACCUAUUUGUUUAUGGUGCCAAAAUGGGUCAUCAAAUUAAGGCCAGGAUGUUCAACUUGGUAGAGUGUGACCGUCCCAUUAAAACCUCUUUCAUAACUAAGAAGAGACAGCGAACACACUCUUUUGUGAGUAAAGAUGAAAUAAUAGGGAGGGAAGAUGAUAAAGCAGCUUUUCUAGAACACAUAUUAGAGUUCCAAAGUGAAGAGAAUGUUUAUGUGGUUCCGAUUGUGGAGUUUGGAGGGUUAGGGAUGACUACAUUAGCACAGUUUGUCAAUGAAGUGGUCAAUGAUCAUUUUGAGUUGAGGAUAUGUAAAGAUUCCAAACUGGUCAUCUCGGAAGCGAUCUUAAAUUGGGCAAAUCAGAGAGAUAAAGAAAUUGCAACCCAAUCCGGAAGAUACCGACACUUUGGAAUUUUUGCCAGCGAUAGAGAGCGUAGGUUACAAUGCCAUGGACAGAUCACAGCUCCACUUUCUGUAUAGUUUCAAAAAUUACUCGGGGCAGAAGGCAAUGGGAGCCACAGCUCUCCUUACCCCUCCCCCCUUCCAAAUUUGGAAAAUUCUCAUUAAGCCUUCAAUUUUUUUGAAAAUUUUAAUUGAACUCCUCAAUUUUUUUAAAAAUUUUUCCUAAGCCUUUAAUAGUUUUAUAAGUUUUAAUUAGACCCUUUUUUUUGAAAUUCUCAUUAGGUUCUUUAAAAUUUUUGAAAAAUUUAAUUCCACAUUUCGCUACCUUUCUUCUCUGAUAGUUUUAGUUUAUUUGAAUGCUUGGAAUUAGGCUUUCACAUUGUUACAUUGUUGAAAAUUACUUGUAUUUUGAUAAGGAAAACAAUGGGAAAAAUAACAAUUAGAUACUUGGAAUAUUGGCUUGUGCCAUGAUACGCCUUUAUAAGGUGUUAUUCAACUUGUAAUUUGAUGUGUGCCAACAUAAGCAUCAACACACAAGUCAUGUAUAUACAGCCAGGACAUCGACAUCUUUUGGAAGAGUCCUAAUCCAAGCAUCAUAAUUGAACAUAGCCUUGGAAUACCGUCUAAAAACAAUUAUUGUCUCAUAAUCAAUUGUGCAUCCCUGCAUUUGAAUACUGUUUGGAACCCUAAAAAAACAUAAAUGUGUUUUUUCCUGAGUUGGUACAUAUUAUGCAACAAGGAAAAUAAAGAACACAAUCAAUAUAUUUACGCAGUUCGAAACUCGUCCUACGUUUGUGGGGCUUUGCCCCAAGAUGAAUACACUAUGAACUUCAUAGUACAAAGAAAUGAUUUAAGCUCAACCCCUCAAACAUUUGAUGCAAUCUCACUUUUGUACAGUUUAAGUAAAUUCUCUCCCAACUCAUUUUAGCUAUGCAAGUGAAAAUUCACAUUCAACACUCAAAUGGUUUUCCUACUAUGAAUCAAGCUCUUAAUAAGCUCCAUGUAAAGUGGAAUAAUAAAUUUUCAAAUGCAAUAUGUCUGGCAAUUGUCAUGCUUGAACAACGACUCUUCCAAAACCAUCAAUGAACCUGAAAAUUACAAAUGCCAACAUAGAAUAUGUUACAAAUCCCAUUAGUAUCAGCCUUAUAUUUGCACAUAUGUGUGUUUAGUAUAACGCUGUUGAUAUAUAAAUAAUGAAACAUUUUAUCAACUUCAACCUCACCACCAAAUAUUCCGAAGCAUCUUCCUUUUUUUCCUGUUUGGACCUUCAGUAACAAAUUUGGCUGGAAUUCUAAACAGCUAAAAGAGUUCCCUGCAUCAAUGAAUAUUAUGAAUUUGAAUACCUCCAAAAGCCUGUCAAUAUCACAGGUACCAUCUAAGAUAGUAAUCAGUUGGCAUAUAUUAAGAGAAAACAUAAAUAUAUAUAACGAUAUCAUCGGUAAGUGCUUAAAUGAAGAAAGCAGAGCAUAUAGUACAACCAUUUUGAAUGCUUCAUAGGCCUCUCUCUCCACAUCAAUUGUUUUUUAGAAUUAAAUUAUUAGAAGCAAUUGUCAAGUUAUAAUUAUGAUUUAAAAGUAAAAAGGAAAUAGAUAAAUUAGCACCUCUUUUUAUGCAUAUAAAAUGAUUGAAGUUGACUAAUGCCUUUCUGCAAUGCCUUACUGCACAAAUCAGCAAAAAUAUUAUGAAAGAUGAUAAGUAAAAAGUAGGAUUAAAACAAAGGCAUUUUAACAAGGAAAUUAAUAGUAUCCAACUUCAAUGAAAAAUGGCAUCAGACCCCUGACUUGGAGAUUCAAUAUACCACUCCUAUUUUUCUUCAAAAAAAGAUGAGGUCAUCAAAAUAAAUAAAUAACAAAGACAGACCAACCUGAUCCAACCGAAUGUUGGGGAUGUGAGCAAUCUUUUGCCAAUCAGCGCCAAUGUCCUUCCGACAUCUUUCCUCCAACAGAGGAAUUUCUUGUAUUUGUAAAUACUCCAAACAGGUUAGGCAACACAUCUCGUCCGGAAGAGAUGUUAAAUUGGGCAAAUUAACGAGAUAAAGCUGUUCCAGAUUUGUUAGAUGUUGAAGCCGCUCCGGAAGAUGCCGACACUUUGGAAUAUUUUCCAGCCAUAGAAGGCGUAGGCUUGUAUGAUCUUGGAAUAUUUGGAUGCCAGCUCCAGAUAACUCCAGCUCCUUGCAGUCCUUUACUUCAAACAGUUCAAGGAAAGUGAGGUGUUGGAACACAGGAAGCAGUGACCUCAAUCCAUUGCAGUUAUGAAUUCUUAAUGUUUUCAAUUGAACAAGAUGUUGAAGCCAAAUGGGGAGAGACACCAGCUUUGGAAAAUUAUCAAUCUCCAAACAAGAGAGAUUCUUCAGGGGUUCCCAUUGCAUGCCAUCUAAAUCAACCUCCUUGCAAUCUCCUAUUGUUAAUCGUUUGAGGUUGGUGAGAUGUUGCAGGCACUCAUCUAGCGUGUGAGUGUCCAACCCCUCAAUGUUGUAUACAUCGAAAGAUUUCAAUUUGGAGAGUGGAAGAGAAGAGGUUGAAGUUGAUGGGGCCUUAGCAUUGAUGUUCAUCUUGAUAGUCUGCUUUAACGGCCUUGAACUGGUAUUCGACAACAUUAGAUAUUCAUCGAGUGAUGGAUACAGUGGCAUUAAAUUCAAAGGGCAAUUUCUAAUGUUUAAAGAGGAAAGACAAGGAAAUGCCAUGGUUGAUGUUCCCAUAACUGUUGUGUCGUCCUCGUUGGAAUCAUCAUCGAUUGGUUUUAUCGUCCUCCACCAACUCUUCAUAUUUGGGCAAUCCCGUAGGCAAAGAUACUUAAGCGAUGGGAAGAAUGAUUGUUGUUCUCCUUGACUUCCUUUUGGGCUAUUAUCAUCCAUGUACUCCAGCUCAGUUAAAUCACAAAUUACCAAAUCUUGAAGACAAGGAAAUUGAGCAAAGGAUGGGAGGUGUUUGAAUUUACUACGAAGACCCAUUAUAUUAAUAUGGACGAGAUUUGUGAGCAAAGGAAGCCAACUUGGAAACUUGGCAUCACCCCUCCAUCCUGAAAUACGUAGCUCCUUGAGAUUAGGAUGGGGCUGGAGGUCUUCAAGUGACUCCUCAUCAUCAUGGUUGCCACCGCCCCAUUCUAAAGCCAACGAUCUCAAAUGUUGCUUCUCUUUCAAAUUAGCAGCCUUAAACUUCUCUUUUGCAUUUUUUACGAAUCCCAAAUUUGUUAUUCUUAACUCUCCCCUUAAGUUGUUAAGCAGUCUCAGUUCACUUAGAUCUGCACCGCCAUGGGACCCAUCUUUAUCCACUACAAACAUGCUUAACGUCUCAAGUGAAGUCAGCUUCCCUAUUCCACGUGGCAUAUGAGUUAAACUAAAACAAUCUUCACACCCAAGAUGGGUAAGAUUCACCAAUUUUUCAAUGUUCUUUGGCAAUUCUUUAAGCCCAGUACACCCAUCAAGUUUCAGCGCUAGCAAAUUCUGAAUCUUGCAAAUACUCUUUGGGAGAAUCUUAAGUCCGGGAUUAUAAGAAAGAUCCAGGUACCUCAAAUGUUUCAACUUACAAAUGGAGGGUGAAAUCUUUUGAAUACCUAUAGAAUUCAAUUUCAAUACACGCAAGCAUCUACAAUUUGCAAUUAUCAAAUCCCAAGUUUCAUAGCUGAAAUCUUGAAUUUUUCUGUCUUGAAAAUGUAACAAGCUUCGCAACUUCUUUCCCUUAAACAAAGGAAUUAAUGAAGGAAUUAAUAAAGGAUUAAUUGAUAUGUGGCGACAUUUUUCACCAACAUCACUUGCAAUUUUAUUUGAAUCUACAAUACUACUCUCCAUCCCUGCUACUGAUUCAGCUAGAUCAUGCAUUAAAUCAUGCAUUUUACAUGUUAGCCCUUCCCAUGAAUAUCUUUCUCCUACUUCUUGGAAGAAACUUCUUUCAACUAAAUCUUUAAAAUACCCAAACCCGAUCUCCUCUAGAGAUUGACUUUGAUUCAAUUGCUUUAUGAAACCCUGUGCAAUCCAAAAUUGAACAAGCGCUUGUACUUCAAUUCUGUAAUCUUUUGGGUACAAUCGGCAAUAUGCAAAGCAAUGCUUCAAAUGAGACGGGAGAUGAUCAUAACUCAAUUUCAGUAUAGGUAGAAGUUCUCCUUCAAUUUGUGAUAUUUUAGCAAGUUCAUUUUCUUUGAAAGAAUGCCACUCAUUUGCAGUUUUCUUCAAAGAUAAUGUACCAGCUAUCGUCCUUAUGGCUAAGGGAACCCCACCACACCUUUCCGAAAUC
rnacentral:lncRNA from 1 species